UCCGGAGCCUCGCAGGAUUCCUCCGUUUCCCACCACAGCGCAGCGAACACACCUGUCAGGUGAACCUCUCCAGAACAGACGGGAGCUGUAGAGGAGGGAGAGCGCCGCCCGAACCGCUGAGGUUUACCGCCGACAGGAAGUCCCUUCCAGCCGUACGGCGGCGCUCGCUCCGUCAGCUGCUCCCAGGACCGUUUGGAGAAACUUCCGGCCCACUGAAGAACCGGAACCGAGAACCUGAACCGGUUUCUGAGGAGAACAUUGUUCCUCGCUGCCUUCCUCAGAGAACAUGGAGCUUCGACCUGCUGACCAACAGAAACAUGCAGGAAACAUCAGAGAACACAUGGAGUCAGUGACAAGAUGAUAUUUAUCAUUUCAGCUCUGACAAACAGAAGUGAGACGAGUCGUCUUCUGUUCAACCAGGAGUCCGAAAAAAAGAGUUUAAUAAACUGUUCAAUUAAUAAGAAGAAUAUGAAAGUGGUGUAAAAGUGAACGAGUGGUUUCAGACAUGAGUGGUGUCAGAACGUAAAGGUUAAUAAAGGUCAUGUUAUAUAAAUACA